rnacentral:tRNA from 1 species
UGGCUUAGAUGGUAAAGCGUCUGCCCGCAAUGCAGGAGACCUGGGUUCGAUCCCAG